rnacentral:sRNA from 1 species
AUUCUGCCCAUGCGGGGAAGGAUGAGAAGCUUCGACCAAGGUUCGACUCGAGCGCCAGCGAGAGAGCGUGGCCGCAGGCAACGACCCGAAGGGCGAAGCGCGCAGCGCUGAGUAAUCCUUCGCCA